GGGGCUUUGUCUCUCUAGACUCGCCUUAUGUGGGCGUGCGUCCAAAGCAGUAUGAGAAGUGUGAGAGUUUGAAGUUGAGUUGAGACGGUGUGAAGGACUGUUGUUAACCAAAGUGAUGUGAUAAACAACAGAACUGUAACUAUUAAAUAAUCAAAAGGCGUUUGAGCUUUUCCUGCUUUGAACUUCCGUGAUAUCCUGCAGCACUUAAACGAGUGGGACUAAAAAGGGACGGGAUUCAAGUUAGAUUCUAAAAUGUAAAUUUACAGUGAUUAAAGAUAACUUUCCUAUGAACAUA